rnacentral:rRNA from 3 species
CCUAAGGUAGCGAAAUUCCUUGUCGGGUAAGUUCCGACCUGCACGAAUGGCGUAAUGAUGGCCAGGCUGUCUCCACCCGAGACUCAGUGAAAUUGAACUCGCUGUGAAGAUGCAGUGUACCCGCGGCAAGACGGAAAGACCCCGUGAACCUUUACUAUAGCUUGACACUGAACAUUGAGCCUUGAUGUGUAGGAUAGGUGGGAGGCUUUGAAGUGUGGACGCCAGUCUGCAUGGAGCCGACCUUGAAAUACCACCCUUUAAUGUUUGAUGUUCUAACGUUGACCCGUAAUCCGGGUUGCGGACAGUGUCUGGUGGGUAGUUUGACUGGGGCGGUCUCCUCCUAAAGAGUAACGGAGGAGCACGAAGGUUGGCUAAUCCUGGUCGGACAUCAGGAGGUUAGUGCAAUGGCAUAAGCCAGCUUGACUGCGAGCGUGACGGCGCGAGCAGGUGCGAAAGCAGGUCAUAGUGAUCCGGUGGUUCUGAAUGGAAGGGCCAUCGCUCAACGGAUAAAAGGUACUCCGGGGAUAACAGGCUGAUACCGCCCAAGAGUUCAUAUCGACGGCGGUGUUUGGCACCUCGAUGUCGGCUCAUCACAUCCUGGGGCUGAAGUAGGUCCCAAGGGUAUGGCUGUUCGCCAUUUAAAGUGGUACGCGAGCUGGGUUUAGAACGUCGUGAGACAGUUCGGUCCCUAUCUGCCGUGGGCGCUGGAGAACUGAGGGGGGCUGCUCCUAGUACGAGAGGACCGGAGUGGACGCAUCACUGGUGUUCGGGUUGUCAUGCCAAUGGCACUGCCCGGUAGCUAAAUGCGGAAGAGAUAAGUGCUGAAAGCAUCUAAGCACGAAACUUGCCCCGAGAUGAGUUCUCCCUGACUCCUUGAGAGUCCUGAAGGAACGUUGAAGACGACGACGUUGAUAGGCCGGGUGUGUAAGCGCAGCGAUGCGUUGAGCUAACCGGUACUAAUGAACCGUGAGGCUUAACCUU